CGUUGUAGGCGGCUCAUCAAGUCUGGUGUGAAAGAGCUGGGCUUAACCCAGCGUAUGCGCUGGAAACUGGUGGGCUUGAGUGCCGGAGGGGAAGCUGGAAUUCCAGGUGUAGGGGUGAAAUCUGUAGAUAUCUGGAAGAACACCGGUGGCGAAGGCGAGCUUCUAUCCGAGGACUGACGCUGAGGCGCGAAAGCGUGGGGAGCAAACAGGAUUAGAUACCCUGGUAGUCCACGCUGUAAACGAUGUGCACUAGGCGUGGGGCACGUACGUGUUCUGUGCCGUAGUUAACGUGUUAAGUGCACCGCCUGGGGAGUAUGCUCGCAAGGGUGAA
rnacentral:rRNA from 1 species